AUUUGAAUUCUACGAGCCAUCAAUUCCACAAAUUCAAUUCUUUGGUAAGACCUAAGAAUUACAAUUCCAAUUCCAUAAUUUCACCUCCUAUUCGGGUUAGUACGCGGAUCCUAAUGGGUAAAAAAUUAAAAUCGGGUCAACUAUGUGAGCAGCCCUCUCUCGCGAUCUAAUUAGUCACUUUUCCUCAACCGCAAGUGCUUCUUCUGUGCGUCAUCCCCUUCACCGCCACCCUAACAUUUUGUCUCUUCCACCACCGUCUCCGGCAUCGCUCUGCCACGCAUCUACCCAUCACUUCAGCAAUCGCAAGACUGCUCCGAACUGGGUUCUUCAGUCCGGAAGAUCGUACCAGUGAAUCGGCCCUCUCACCUUACUUCAGUACUUACUACCUGCUUUGGUAAUUUGGAUGGGGUGGAAGUCCCUGGGAUGGCAUUUUUGUUUUUGAUGGCCUUGCAUGAUUUCAAUGGCUCGAGUCUUGCCUUGAUGUUUGCCUCUGCCAUUCAUAAAGUUUAGUUUAUUAGUGCAUGGUUUCGGUGGUAAGUUUGCCCUUCGCUAGGUUUUUCAUAACUUACUUGGAUGCACAGAGUGUAAGAGGAGGAGUAGAUUAGUAUUUUAUCUUACUUGGAAGAAAAAGAAGAAGGAAAUUGGUCCAGAAACUGAUCAAAUCACUUUUAUGCUGCCUGCAACAAGAGUAUUUUCUAACAUUUAGACUAGACUGUUUUAUGAUUUCAUUCUGUAAGGGAGGCCUACCUCAUCGAAAAUUUUGUUGAGAACUUCUUAUGUUACAUGGUCACAUAUAUAAACUUAAAAACUUACAUCGAACCAAAUGCUUUGGGUCCAAAAUGGAAGAUAGGAAGAAGGUGUGGAAAAUACAAAAAAUCAGAUUCAGUUUACCAUGUACUUUUAGGAAUUGGCAUUAGGUUACUGAAAUUUUGUCAUUACUCCCUCAACCAUUUAAACAUUAAAGGAAAGAAAUUGGAACCGGAGGCUCCACAAUGUUGUCAAAUUUGGUGCCCAAUUUGACAAAGCCGGUACAUCUACAUGUUGGUAAACAGAGGAAGGAUCAUGGAUGGUUUGGACUCAGAAUUCUAUAUUGAUACUCGUCCAAGCAUGAGUGAUGCUGAGGACGCAUAGAUUACUGUUAUCGUUUAUUGUACAUGUUAGAUAAUGUAGUGAAUUUGGAGAACCUUGGCUUCCAGUCAAUAGAUAAGUCCUGUGUAUGUACGUUGUCGCAGUUAUUCAACUAGAGUUUGAUAUAUAGAUGUAUGCUAAAAUAGUUUUACCAGCAA